UACGUAGGGUGCGAGCGUUGUCCGGAAUUAUUGGGCGUAAAGAGCUCGUAGGCGGUGUGUCGCGUCGGCCGUGAAAACCUGCAGCUUAACUGUGGGCUUGCGGUCGAUACGGGCAUCACUGGAGUUCGGCAGGGGAGACUGGAAUUCCUGGUGUAGCGGUGAAAUGCGCAGAUAUCAGGAGGAACACCAAUGGCGAAGGCAGCUCACUGGGACGGUAUUGACGCUGAGACGCGAAAGCGUGGGGAGCAAACAGG
rnacentral:rRNA from 1 species